GUGAGGAAUAUUGCGCAAUGGAGGCAACUCUGACGCAGCCAUGCCGCGUGCAGGAAGAAGGCGCUACGCGUUGUAAACUGCUUUUAACCGGGAAGAAACCCCAGGACGUGUCCUGGGUUGACGGUACCGGAGGAAUAAGCACCGGCUAACUUCGUGCCAGCAGCCGCGGUAAUACGAAGGGUGCAAGCGUUAUCCGGAUUCAUUGGGUUUAAAGGGUGCGUAGGCGGAGCGUUAAGUCAGUGGUGAAAUCCUGCAGCUUAACUGUAGACUUGCCAUUGAUACUGGCGCUCUUGAGUGCGCUUGAAGUGGGCGGAAUGUGCCGUGUAGCGGUGAAAUGCUUAGAUAUGGCACAGAACACCAAUUGCGAAGGCAGCUCACUAAGGCGAUACUGACGCUGAGGUGCGAAAGCGUGGGGAGCAAACAGGAUUAGAUACCCUAGUAGUCC
rnacentral:rRNA from 1 species